CAAACGCCCCACGGACUAUGCUAAUUGCUGUUUAUUAAAUAACUACGUUAAUAUCUAGGAUUAGUAAGUUGGUGGAUGAAGAUACCGUGGAAAUUACACGGACAUCUAGGAAUUAUGCAAAAUCGACAAGCAUUUUGACAAGCAUUAGGAUUGACGACAAAUCUAUGAGGAUAUACAGAAAUGCUGCACUUUAUGAAGACGCUGGUCGUUACUUGAUUCGUAGGAAAUAACGAAUAUGCCCCUGGGAUUAUGCAACAAUGUUGUCGUUUAAGUAACCUCUCUAGAAUCUAGGGAAAUAAGAUGGGUACUGCGGAUAACCUAGGAAUUACGUCGGUAUAUUAGUAAUUAUUGAAGACAGAUAUUACAUGAGAAUAAAAAAUAAAGCACAAAUACUUACUUCAAAUCGCCAGUCGGUGCUUUAUCUAGACAAGGCAUAAUUUUAACAACGCUUGCAGCGCAUAUGUCAAGUGAAAGUGAAGAUAUUGAUCAUUGUAAGGAUGAUAUUGAAAGUGAAAGAAGCGAGGUGGAUUGCAGUGACGUGGUGAAAGCUCUGACAGUGGUAAUGAUAUAGUUAUUCCUUCAAGUAAACGAUAAAUAGUAAUU